AUCGCUUCUCGGCCUAACGGCUAAGAUCAAGUGUAAGUUUCUGUUCUUAUCAGCGUAAUAUCUGAUAAGCUUUCUAUUGAGAGCUGAAUAUAUUAACAGGUUUUUGAAAGUGGGCGUUGGUUUGGUAGCUUGCUCCAUCCGCGCCAAGCAUUGUUUCGGUAUUGCAGUGUUUCCGAAAGCGGUGCACCACUU